rnacentral:misc_RNA from 1 species
AGAAACAAGAUCUGCAAGAUUGCUGCUAGAAGGGAUUUUCAGCUGAAUUUCCAAAAGUCUAAGGCUACAACUCUCUUUCUGGGUUCUUUCAUUUUAUUUCCUUCUCAUGUUUUCUCUUUAUCUUUUUAUAAACUUAAUUGUAAAACUCAUAAUGUGUGAGUAGUCUCUUUAUUCUAUGGUUAGGGUGUAGCACUCUCAAUUUAAUAAUGGAUAUGAUUUGAUUUUAUUUAAUAUAUUGGGGGUUUUGUUCUUUGAUUCAAA